AACGAACGCUGGCGGCAUGCCUAACACAUGCAAGUCGAACGAGACCUUCGGUCGUAGUGGCGCACGGGUGCGUAACACGUGGGAAUUUGCCUCGGGGUAGUGGAAUAACUCAGGGAAACUUGAGCUAAUACCAUAUAAUGUCUUCGGACCAAAGAUUUAUUCGCCCUGAGAUAAGCCCGCCGUGGGAUUAGCUAGUUGGUGGGGUAAAGGCUCACCAAGGCGACGAUCCUUAGCUGGUCUGAGAGGAUGAUCAGCCACACUGGGACUGAGACACGGCCCAGACUCCUACGGGAGGCAGCAGUGGGGGAAUAUU
rnacentral:rRNA from 1 species